AUUGAACGCUGGCGGCAGGCCUAACACAUGCAAGUCGAACGAGUGGCGGACGGGUGAGUAAUGUCUGGGAAACUGCCUGAUGGAGGGGGAUAACUACUGGAACCGGUAGCUAAUACCGCAUACCAUCAGAUGGGGCCAGAUGGGAUUAGCUUGUGGGUGGGGUAACGGCUCACCAAGGCGACGAUCCCUAGCUGGUCUGAGAGGAUGACCGGCCACACUGGAACUGAGACACGGUCCAGACUCCUACGGGAGGCAGAAGUGGGGAAUAUUGGACAAUGGGCGAAAGCCUGAUGCAGCCAUGCCGCGUGUAGGAAGAAGGGCUUCGGGUUGUAAAGUACUUUCAGCGGGGAGGCGGUACCCAAAGAGGAAGCACCGGCUAACUCCGUGCCAGCAGCCGCGGUAAUUC
rnacentral:rRNA from 1 species